AAAGCUGCUUGAUCCGCCUGAUA
rnacentral:siRNA from 1 species